GAGGACCCGCAGGAAGGUGAAGCCCAUUAUGUCCUCGCAUGGGUUGAAGGCAUCCGGUUCCGGGUAGCAGCUCACUGCUGUCACAUCCUUACAGUGUUCCUCAAAAAAGCACAGCAGUGGCUGGGGUAUGUCAGAUUGGCCUGAGUGAGCUCGGAAAACAACUCCAGACUGGGUAACCAUCGGAGGGAGUAGACGGAGAUGGCAGUCAGCAGCUUCAGACUCUUCAGCAUGCUCUCUGAUGGGUGAGAGCCAGGUGGAGUGUGGUGGAGAUGGCGUCAUCUAUUGAGCAGUUGGGGCAAUAUGCAAAUUGCAGUGGGUCCAGUGAAGGAGGAAGCUGGUCUUUAAUGUGCCUUAUGACAAGCCUCUCAAAGCACUUCAUGGUGAUUGGAGUGAGUGCAAUGGGACGGUAGUCAUUGAGGCAGGACACUGGAGACUUCUUUGGCACAGGGAUGAUGGUGGUGGAUGCCCACUGAACAUCACUGGCUCUGCUGUGGAAAUCGUCCAG